CACACGUGCUACAAUGGCGCAUACAAAGAGAAGCGACCUCGCGAGAGCAAGCGGACCUCAUAAAGUGCGUCGUAGUCCGGAUUGGAGUCUGCAACUCGACUCCAUGAAGUCGGAAUCGCUAGUAAUCGUGGAUCAGAAUGCCACGGUGAAUACGUUCCCGGGCCUUGUACACACCGCCCGUCACACCAUGGGAGUGGGUUGCAAAAGAAGUAGGUAGCUUAACCUUCGGGAGGGCGCUUACCACUUUGUGAUUCAUGACUGGGGUGAAGUCGUAACAAGGUAACCGUAGGGGAACCUGC
rnacentral:rRNA from 2 species